GCCUAUAAAAACAAAGAACUAAUUCGGAACAGCACGAUACGAUUAGAUUAACACCACAGAGUUUCAAUCGAAGUGGGGAUCUCCCGGAAAAUCUAGGAGUAGAAAGUUGAUUCUCUACUACUUGUAGAGAUAGGAAGAUUCGAAAGUGCGGCAGAAGAAGCCUAGUUGUACAUAAAACUGCUGUUUGAAAACUAGGUCAUUGGGUUGAUAACAUUCAAUGUUUUUAAAUAAUAUUACCCAGCAAGAAUAUAUUAAAUAUCUGCAUUGUAUCAAGCUAAUAUACCCCAUCUGGUUUGCAGUAGUCGAAUGAAAAUUUGAUUAAAACGAUGACAGUUUAAAGAGUUUUCCACGCCUCAAUGAAUUUACGUAAUUUCCAGAUAUUAUGAAUAACUGCGGUUCGUUCAGAAAUAAGUAUGAGCAACGAGCAUGCCACCCCCAGAUACGAGCCCUCACGUCCACGUACAACAUAGUCUACCCAUUCGUACUCGCCAGAAAGCUGCAGAUACGCUCGGUUAUAGUCAAUAGGUAUAUAUGUAUAGGUGUGAGCCACGUGCGUAUGGCUUUAUCUUUUGCGUAAACUGAACCCACACCGAGGAAAUGUUGGUGCCAGUUGGAAAAAAACAAGAAUUAUGGCGCAAAUUUGCUGAUAACGCUCCACAUUCCACUACACGUAUGUAUCUUGGCUCGGAAAAGAGGAGCCAACCCAGUACCCAAAACGUUCCUCCGUCCCUUUCCCGGGUGCCAUGUGUUCUGGAAUACGAAUAAAAAGUGAAUAUCGCCCAGCGAGUUGAAUAAAUAUUUGCCAUACACGAAUGCUGUGCAAAGAAUGCCAUUUUAAUAUUGAAUAUUUGCUCGUAAACUUCGUUGGGAACGUGAAAACGCCCCCAUGCUCCAUAUGUACGUCCCAGGGCACAGUCUCAUACAUACAUACAUAUGUAUGUAUAAACGUUUUUCGAUAUUGCCAUGAGAUAAGGCCUAUGACCGAAAAUACCAUUAAAAAACAAACUAAAAGCCACGGGCCCCGGGGAAUUCGGAACUUUGCCUUCUCAUAUAUCAAAAUUCUUGGUGCUGAAGAAUACUCUGGCUUGUUUGGCCUACAAAAACAACCAGAGUCAAUUUGUAAUGUAUUUCAUAAUACUCCCAUCUAGCAAACAACAAUAUUUGUUUGUCUGCAUGAGCAUAAAUUUAGUUCACCCUUCAGUUAUUGCAGAAGACCUGUUCCUAAUGGAAAUUCGUCUUAUGUUUAUACAGAAAACAACGAGUCAAGGUCUCGCCGUUUCAGUACAAUAAAAUAGUGUUCCUGGAAUUGGCGAUUAAGUGUUUGCUUUUACAUACCCAUGCAAUAUGCAUAAGUGCUUGGCUGACUUUCGGUUGGUAAUGCCGAAUGGAAUGAAACCGAAAAUGAUCAAAUCACGCAUUCGCAGGCAUCUGAAACAUACGUUUUCCAAAAAUAAAGAUCGCAUAAUAAAUCAAUGAUUGGAUCAAUCAAAAUGCUCCACAUGGGUGUGGAAUGAAGAGACCCCACCCAAAAGUUCCCGAAAGCGGGAAGUCGAUUUGCCAUUUCAAUUGAUUUCGUUUAAUUUACCAUUUAUUAUGUGUUUGUUUUUUUGGCGGCUGUUUAAUGGCGAUUUUUGUGUCUCUAUGGAAAUUUAA